AAAUAAUUAAAAUUUGGGCAUCUAACGAUUUGCAUUUGUGUCUAUAUAUAACAUGUACAUGUAAAAGGCCCUUUGCCACCUGCAGCAGCUACACCAAUAAUCCUUCUUCCAUAUCCAUCCAUAAAGGCUUCAGCUUAAUUAAUACAUGGCAACUGCAACUGCAACUGCUUUCCUAAUUCUUCUACUGAGCGUUCCGGCAGCCUACGCUACGCAGUACGUGGUGGGUGACAGCGCUGGAUGGACCAAUUUUGGAUCAGAUUACGGCACCUGGGCCUCUGGUAAAACUUUCACCGUGGGCGACACUCUUGUGUUCAACUAUGAUAGUUCCACACACAAAGUAGCUGAAGUACCCCAAAGCGACUACAACAGCUGCAGCGCAAGCAAUGCCAUCCAAACCUACAGCGAUGGAAGCACCACAAUAUCCCUUUCCAAGACUGGUUCUAUGUAUUUCAUCUGUCCUACUGCUGGUCACUGUAGCAGCGGCAUGAAGUUAUCUAUCAAUGUUGUGGCCGCCAGCACCACCCCUGCCCCUUCAUCAGGUUCCACAACCCCUGCUCCUCCAUCUGGCUCCACUCCCCCCUCUUCUGGCACCACACCCACCAAAGCAUCACCUCCACCGCCGGCCAAAAAUGGGGCUGCUACCAUUUUUUAUAGCAUGAAUAGUUUUGUUCUGCUUAGUUUCUUGCUUGCACUUGCAUUGAUUGGCUAGGGGAGAGGCAGUGCUGUUAUUGUUCUUCUGAAUUUGUGUGAUUUUAUUGGACAAGAGAUCGAUUAUGUACGUAUUUUUCUGUUUUUAUAUAUGAUCAUAUUUCGUGAAUAAUUGAUUUUUAUUGAGA
rnacentral:misc_RNA from 1 species